GCUUCCCCACAACUCAGAUUAGUAAACCCAAACACCAAGUGUUCCGCCGAUGGCUUCUAAGAUCGCCAGUACCAUGGUCAUGUACGUAUUCAUACUGGCACUCCUUGCGUAUUCAGAUGCAAGGCGUUGUACACAACACCCAGUUAAGGAUCCAGAUUGCAUCGGUCGAAUUGACAGAAACUGUGUUAAAUGUUGCAAUGCUGAAGGCUACCGUCAUGGAGUAUGUGCACCCACAUGCAAAUGCUCUCACUGCGGACCUGAAUCCCGUCCUGAUGAACGUGCAAAAAAACAGUGAGCCUUGAAUUUGUAACUAGCAUGGACCAAUAAAAAGAUCAAGUACAUUACAACUUUA